AAAUGGCAAAGUAAGGGUCAACACUAGUCAAAUUCUCCAAUCAAUUUAAGUGGGGAACAAUGGAAGUCAAUUCGGUCACUGGUGUCAAUUCGAUUAAUGGUUUUGAUCAAGUGAGGUUUAAGGCUAAAAUUAUCACAAUAACAGCAGCACAAGAUUUUAAUUGAUGCAAUUUUAAAAAUGAAGUAGUAGUAUAAACCAAUACUAAAUAGAGAUCAAGGACUCCCUGUUGUUUAGUUUUGAUUAUUUGUAUGCCGCUUGAUCUGAAUUGCCGACUUAUAAGCCCCAACUAUGCUUCUGUUCUUCCCUUCGUAUCCAAUAAUUUUAGCCCCUGUAGACUGUAACUUGUGCUGGUUCUGGUGUGGACGUAAAAUUGUGUGCAGUGACUGUGGCUUUUAGAUUGUUGA
rnacentral:lncRNA from 1 species